UGUGGAAUAUUGGUCAAUGGGCGCGAGCCUGAACCAGCCAAGUAGCGUGAAGGAUGACUGCCCUACGGGUUGUAAACUUCUUUUAUAAAGGAAUAAAGUGAGGCACGUGUGCCUUUUUGUAUGUACUUUAUGAAUAAGGAUCGGCUAACUCCGUGCCAGCAGCCGCGGUAAUACGGAGGAUCCGAGCGUUAUCCGGAUUUAUUGGGUUUAAAGGGAGCGUAGAUGGGUUGUUAAGUCAGUUGUGAAAGUUUGCGGCUCAACCGUAAAAUUGCAAUUGAUACUGGCAGUCUUGAGUACAGUUGAGGUAGGCGGAAUUCGUGGUGUAGCGGUGAAAUGCUUAGAUAUCACGAAGAACUCCGAUUGCGAAGGCAGCUUACUAAACUGCCACUGACAUUGAUGCUCGAAAGUGUGGGUAUCAAACAGG
rnacentral:rRNA from 1 species